GACGAACGCUGGCGGCGUGCUUAACACAUGCAAGUCGAACGGAAAGGCCCUGCUUUUGUGGGGUGCUCGAGUGGCGAACGGGUGAGUAACACGUGAGUAACCUGCCCUUGACUUUGGGAUAACUUCAGGAAACUGGGGCUAAUACCGGAUAGGAGCUCCUGCUGCAUGGUGGGGGUUGGAAAGUUUCGGCGGUUGGGGAUGGACUCGCGGCUUAUCAGCUUGUUGGUGGGGUAGUGGCUUACCAAGGCUUUGACGGGUAGCCGGCCUGAGAGGGUGACCGGCGACCUUGGGACUGAGAUACGGCCCAGACUCCUACGGGAGGCAGCAGUGGGGACUAUUGUCCAAUGGGCGGAAGCCUGAUGCAGCGACGCCGCGUGCGGGAUGACGGCCUUCGGGUUGUAAACCGCUUUCGCCUGUGACGAAGCGUGAGUGACGGUAAUGGGUAAAGAAGCACCGGCUAACUACGUG
rnacentral:rRNA from 1 species